UCCCUGGGGGACUAGUGGUUAGGCCACAGCGCUCUCACCACUGUGGCCUGGGUUUGAUUCCCGGCCAGGGAU
rnacentral:tRNA from 1 species